GUGCUCACUUCGGCAACACAGACACUAAAAUUCAAACAGCACAAAGAACAUUAACAUGGCCCCUAUGCAGGAUGAAAUGCUCCAUAUUGGCAUAAAAUUGCC
rnacentral:snRNA from 1 species